AACCUCCUGGAGAAGAAAGGAGCAGAAAGAAGAAAAGACUUCACCUGCAGGCAGGCUCGCUCCUGAGAGAGCCAAGGAGGGGCUUAGCUUCACAUGCCCAAUAAUCCAUCACCCAAUUUCACAGUCAGGUGAGCCAAUCUUCCUUCAGAGAAGGAGACGACCCCUCUUCUAGGGAUAACUGAAGAGUGGAUUAUAAGCAGCCCUGCUGUAAGCAAUGUAGGUACCAUCAUGAUCAUUGCAGUUAUGUUUACAAUUAUGUUUACAAUUGCCAACAAUCUAAAUAACCACCUACAGCUAUACAUGUACUGAUAUAGAACAGUGUUCAAGAUGUAUUACUGAAUGACAAGACAGAGUUACACAGCUCUACGCAGGGCCUAAUCUUAUCUGUAUCAAAGAAGAGCCACCACAGACCGAGAAGGCUCUGACCAGUGGCCAACAUUAUAAUCGCAAGGCGUCUGCUGGCCAAUCCUUAAGGGAGCAGCGCCUUUUUGUGGCUAGAUCGCUGUAACUGCGACCCAUACCUCUGGACUGGAGUGGAUGUCUGGGGCUACCGUAGAGGACACCUAAUUGAUUUCAUCUACCCCUGCAACAAGUCAUCUUCACUGAUCAGCUCACAAAUAUCCAGAUCACUCUAGUUUCAUUCCUCCUAAGAUCAGUUGCCCCAGCUCCUGAGAAUUUGCUUUUUUGAGUUUCUGAACCAUUUGUUCUUCAUCCAACAAAUAUUUGUGAAAAGCGUUGGAGAGCCAGGCACUGUUCUGGGUUUGUGUUACAAAUAGCCCUGUCGAGGCUCCUGCCCAAAAGAUGCUUAUGUUUUAGUCUGUAGCCAGAAAAGCCCACCGAGGACCAUAAUCAGCACCAGGAAUUUCCAUGGAAAAGAUGUGGACAGUGCUAUGACAGGAAGUUUGGCUGGCAGACCCUUUUGGAAUAGCUGCCUCUUCGCUGAGAACUGCCAUCAGUACUGCAAACUUACUUCUGGGGGCUCAUUUUCAUUAUUGCCGGCCUAUUUCAGUUCCCCCUUAGCCUACCCACACAGACGGUCUGAAUUAAGCAACUCUAACAUUGGGCAGUUCAGAAACAAAGGAAUCUCAUUCAUCAUUCAUGGAAUAUUUGAAUGAAAAAAAGUAAAACAAAAAUUGCACAAAUUUCUUGAUCUCCGCCUCCCUAUUCUGGAUCCCAUGAAGAAGACUGUCAUCAACCUCAGGUUGGAUGUGUUAACAAAGGACAAGAUAUCAAUGGCUCCUCCUAGACAAGUGGUUCUCAGAGGGUGGUUCCCAGACCAGCAACAGCAGCUUCACCAGAGAAUUCUUGGACCCCACCCCAGACCUACUGAAUCAGAAAUACUAGAGGUGGGGCUCAGCAAUCUGCAUUUCACCUCCAGGUGAUUCUGAUGCUCAAUAAAAUCUGAGACCUGCUGUCUUAGACCAUGGUUCAGUUGCAUGGUUCUCUCCUUUGCCAUCACAGGGAGAGGCUCAGGGUCAGGGUUUGGGAUUGGGGACACCAUCCCCAGGAUGGAUGUAAUGCUGACUGUGCAGCCCCAGGACAUGACUGGUGCUCACAUCUUUCAUGAAGUUCUCCCCACCCCAUCUAUCAGAGCAGAAGC
rnacentral:lncRNA from 1 species